rnacentral:rRNA from 1 species
ACUCCUACGGGAGGCAGCAGUGGGGAAUAUUGGACAAUGGGCGCAAGCCUGAUCCAGCCAUGCCGCGUGAGUGAUGAAGGCCCUAGGGUUGUAAAGCUCUUUCACCGGUGAAGAUAAUGACGGUAACCGGAGAAGAAGCCCCGGCUAACUUCGUGCCAGCAGCCGCGGUAAUACGAAGGGGGCUAGCGUUGUUCGGAUUUACUGGGCGUAAAGCGCACGUAGGCGGACUAUUAAGUCAGGGGUGAAAUCCCGGGGCUCAACCCCGGAACUGCCUUUGAUACUGGUAGUCUUGAGUUCGAGAGAGGUGAGUGGAAUUCCGAGUGUAGAGGUGAAAUUCGUAGAUAUUCGGAGGAACACCAGUGGCGAAGGCGGCUCACUGGCUCGAUACUGACGCUGAGGUGCGAAAGCGUGGGGAGCAAACAGGAUUAGAAACCCUAGUAGUCCCA